rnacentral:rRNA from 1 species
UACAGAGGUCUCGAGCGUUGUUCGGAUUCAUUGGGCGUAAAGGGUGCGUAGGUGGCGCUGUAAGUCAGGUGUGAAAUUUCGGAGCUUAACUCCGAAACUGCAUUCGAUACUGCGGUGCUUGAGGACUGGAGAGGAGACUGGAAUUUACGGUGUAGCAGUGAAAUGCGUAGAUAUCGUAAGGAAGACCAGUGGCGAAGGCGGGUCUCUGGACAGUUCCUGACACUGAGACACGAAGGCCAGGGGAGCAAACGGG